rnacentral:rRNA from 1 species
UUAACCGGAUUAGAUACCCGGGUAGUCCACGCCCUAAACGAUGUCAACUAGCCGUUGGGUUCAUUUAAGGACUUAGUGGCGCAGCUAACGCGAUAAGUUGACCGCCUGGGGAGUACGGUCGCAAGAUUAAAACUCAAAGGAAUUGACGGGGGCCCGCACAAGCGGUGGAGCAUGUGGUUUAAUUCGAUGCAACGCGAAGAACCUUACCAGGCCUUGACAUGCAGAGAACUUUCCAGAGAUGGAUUGGUGCCUUCGGGAACUCUGACACAGGUGCUGCAUGGCUGUCGACAGCUCGUGUCGUGAGAUGUUGGGUUAAGUCCCGUAACGAGCGCAACCCUUGUCCUUAGUUGCCAGCACAUAAUGGUGGGAACUCUAAGGAGACUGCCGGUGACAAACCGGAGGAAGGUGGGGAUGACG